CCAGACUCCUACGGGAGGCAGCAGUAGGGAAUUUUCGGCAAUGGGGGGAACCCUGACCGAGCAACGCCGCGUGAACGAAGGAGGCUUUCGGGUUGUAAACUUCUUUUGACAGGGAAGAGCAGAAGACGGUACCUGUCGAAUAAGCCACGGUUAACUACGUGCCAGCAGCCGCGGUAAUACGUAGGGAGCAAGCGUUGUCCGGAAUUACUGGGCGUAAAGGGCGCGUAGGUGGGCGCUUAAGUCAGGUGUGAAAACUCCGGGCUCAACCUGGAGACUGCACUUGAAACUGGGUGUCUUGAGGGCAGGAGAGGAAAGUGGAAUUCCUAGUGUAGCGGUGAAAUGCGUAGAUAUUAGGAGGAACACCAGUGGCGAAGGCGACUUUCUGGACUGUACCUGACGCUGAGGCGCGAAAGCGUGGGUAGCGAACGGGAUUAGAUACCCGAGUAUAC
rnacentral:rRNA from 1 species